rnacentral:rRNA from 1 species
ACGUAGGUCCCGAGCGUUGUCCGGACUUAUUGGGCGUAAAGCGAGCGCAGGAGGUUUAAUAAGUCUGAUGUAAAAGGCAGUGGCUCAACCAUUGUGUGCAUUGGAAACUGUUAGACUUGAGUGCAGUAGAGGAGAGUGGAAUUCCAGGUGUAGCGGUGAAAUGCGUAGAUAUAUGGAGGAACACCGACGGCGAAAGCAGCUUUCUGGACUGUAACUGACACUGAGGCUCGAAAGCGUGGGGAGCAAACAG